GCCUGAGUGGCUCAGUUGGUUGAGCAUCUGACUUCAACUCAGGUCAUCUCACAGUUCAUGAGUUCAAGCCCCGCAUCAGGCU
rnacentral:tRNA from 1 species